rnacentral:rRNA from 1 species
UGGGGAAUCUUAGACAAUGGGGGAAACCCUGAUCUAGCCAUGCCGCGUGGGUGACGAAGUCCUUAGGGUCGUAAAGCUCUUUCGCCAGGGAUGAUAAUGACAGUACCUGGUAAAGAAACCCCGGCUAACUCCGUGCCAGCAGCCGCGGUAAUACGGAGGGGGUUAGCGUUGUUCGGAUUUACUGGGCGUAAAGGGCGCGUAGGCGGGGUAUCCAGUUAGGGGUGAAAGCCCGGGGCUCAACCUCGGAACUGCCUUUAAAACUGAUACUCUAGAGUCCGGAAGAGGGUCGCGGAAUUCCCAGUGUAGAGGUGAAAUUCGUAGAUAUUGGGAAGAACACCGGUGGCGAAGGCGGCGACCUGGUCCGGUACUGACGCUGAGGCGCGAAAGCGUGGGGAGCAAACAGGAUUAGAUACCCCGGUAGUCC